CGGGAGGCGAGGGCGCGGUGACACGGGCCGGAGGGGCCUGCGCCCGCGGAGGGCGCGCGAGGGGGCGUGUGGCCCCCGAUGGAGCCCUGCCGCGCGGGUGCCCCGGCGCUGGCUGAGGGGCUUGGCGCUUCUCGGCGAGCAGUGCUAGGUUUGUCGUCGCAGCGCUUCGGGGAGCCUAGUCCAGGAGAGAGGACCUGCCUGCGCUGCUCGGCUCAGAACUCGGACCUUACAGGUGGUGUGUACAUCCCGGUGGACGGGUAGACACUUCUGUGUGCUCCUGAAGGCCGGCUGCGUGUAAUAACCAACUGGAGUGCUUUAAGAAGGAUUCUAACGCCAGCCCAAUCCCAGACCAAUUGGACCCACAUCCACAUAGGGCCUGGACAGUGUAUUUUUAACCCCCUCUUCCCCAUAAGUGAUUUUGGUGCAGUGAGAAUUUAUAGAAGUAACCAGCUUGAUGGAAUAGCUACUUGUGAAAUCACAUCUAUUUAGGGACAAAAUAGUAAAAAUAGCUAAAAUAGCUAACACGUAUUCAUCUGUCACUCAGUGGGGUCUCUGUGUCAGAUACUGCGGCUCCCCAAACAUGGAUCUACUCGUAGAAGUACUGUUACCCCUAUUUUAUAGUUGGAGGAGGAGUGGAAGCUCGGAGUUAAUCAGGGAGGACUACUGUGACUAGGACCUAGGGAGGUCGAGUUCAAAACCCCUACUUUCAACAGUCACAUAUGCCUCGUGGAAAAUGUACCUUUGCCUAAGGGCCCCAUGUUUGUGUGAAUAGUAGUAAUGUUUGCCUGAGGGCCAGCUUGUUUAUGUGGGUACAUUUCUACUGUUAAGAUUUUUGUCUGAAAAGCUUUGCUUGUAUAGGGGAGGAAAAUCGUGGUGAUUCUUUAAGGCCUGUAGGCGACCUUUUCCAGAAGUUUAUUGUGGAUCAAGGAGAGAGGGGAUCUCCGUAAUUUGAAGUGAAUAGGUUCUCUGGAAGUUUCUUGUUUUGUUUUUGAGACUUGAGCAUUUCUAUAAUGUGAAGGGGAGAGUCCGGAAGAGGCAGAUAUUUUCCAAGUAUUUACAUGAGCAACCACAAGAGUACUUUAGGUUGCUGGAUGCGAUACAGUUGUGGUGUGGUCACAGCUGGAUGUACCCAGAGGUGCGGUACAGUACAGAGUAGCAGAAGUUCUGCCAUUAGCAUUUUGGAGAAAAAAAAAAACAACUAGUCUGGAGUAGAGAAACUUUGCCGUUACAUCUCUUUUCUCCCCUUAAUUUGUUUGAUUUGUCUCCUGGUCAGAUAAACUGUUGGUGGGACGUUUAGAUGUGGGAGUAGUCCAUUUCAUUAGUAUUUUCUGUACAGAGAUUCCAAAGAAAACUCAUAGUAAACAGAGGUUUCUCCCUGAAAACAAAUGAUACUAGCUACAGUGUAUUUGUGACCAGUAUGUAUUAUUAAGAGGUACCGUGUCACAAAGAACUUUAUAUUCCUGUUGAUUGCUGUCAAAUAUUGUUACCUCUAUGGCAGGCAUGGGUAUAUUAUUUAGCAUACUUUAGGGAUUGGUUUUCAUAUUACUUGCAGUUUUGAUGAGGAAGGCUUAUAGACCUACUCAGGCAAACCUGACUGGAACGUGAGUAUCUGUGGUCUGGUGUGGAAAUAGCUCUCUAGCCCCAUCUCCCUCCUCCCAUUGUCCACCCCCAUCCUCCUUACCACGAAACACAUUUUUCACCAGCAUUGCCAAACCACUUGGGAUUCCUGCGCAUGGCUUUGCUUAGUUUGCUCUUCUGCUUCUUGGAUACCUCCUUCAGGAAAUGUUCCCUGAUUUCUCCUCAGAAACCAUUUAAAAAAUACCCUCCCUGCGUCAUCUCUGCAUUAUAUAUAUGCUUGUCUUAUUGCAUUAUAUCACAGCAUAUCUCAUUGUAUUUGUUACAUAUUGGGCACCUCAAAGGUGAGAAUGGUGACUUGUUUAUCUGCACAUCACUGGCACACAGUAAGCACUUAAGUUUAUUGCAUUGGUCGCAAUUACAUUUACUUCCAUUUAAGUUGCAUUAUCUGUGUCGGUGUUUUCCUGAAUCACUCAUCUUCAUUCUGAACUGUCCUCACCUCCUUCUCUGCUGCUUGCUACCAGGCUAAAAACACAGCUGAAAGCACCCCAAGACAAAACUUACACAGAAAAUACACAAUAAUAGUAACACAUUAUCAAAGAAAUAGGAAGGGGCAAAAUAUCAGUUUUUCACUUGUUUGCGAAUUUCAUCCUUCACUGGCCGAUUGGACGGUGUGAACUUUCUUGGUUACUAAUAUAUGCUGGAGGAGAUGCCCAAGGUUGUUUUUGUUUUUCGAUUUACUUGGGAAGGAAGAACUAGUACUACAUUACCAGUGGACAUGCUUUGAUGUGCCAUAACAGAGCACAGGUGCUUCAUCACAUUUCAUUGCUGUAAUUUUCAGAUUGAGUAUUACAGAGGUAUUUGUAGAGCAGCACUGUCCCAUAGAGCUUUUGGAGAGGAUGGAAAUGAUUUAUAAAUUUGUGUUAUCCAGUGUGGUAGCCACUAGCCACUUGUGGCUAUUGAGCACAUUAAGUGUGACUGACG
rnacentral:lncRNA from 1 species